AUGCAGGAUGGAGCUCUGGGAAAGGACACAGGUGCUUGGAGGAUUGUAGAGAGUUUGACUCAGUUGUUUCCUACAGAUUUCUACAAGAAAACACAGACAAAGCCCAGCAUGUGUGAGGUCCUGGUUCUGAGCCCUUUCUUUUCUGCUCCACAUUUCUGUAUGAGAGGAAGAAAUCUGGAAGAGCUGCUGAAAUUACUGGAAUUGGUUGCUGCCUGCAGUGAAACCCUCACAUUCCAGCUCAGGUAA
rnacentral:lncRNA from 1 species